rnacentral:rRNA from 2 species
AGACCCGAAACCCGGUGAUCUAGCCAUGGGCAGGUUGAAGGUUGGGUAACACUAACUGGAGGACCGAACCGACUAAUGUUGAAAAAUUAGCGGAUGACCUGUGGCUGGGGGUGAAAGGCCAAUCAAACCGGGAGAUAGCUGGUUCUCCCCGAAAGCUAUUUAGGUAGCGCCUCGUGAAUUCAUCUCCGGGGGUAGAGCACUGUUUCGGCUAGGGGGCCAUCCCGGCUUACCAACCCGAUGCAAACUGCGAAUACCGGAGAAUGUUAUCACGGGAGACACACGGCGGGUGCUAACGUCCGUCGUGAAGAGGGAAACAACCCAGACCGCCAGCUAAGGUCCCAAAGUCAUGGUUAAGUGGGAAACGAUGUGGGAAGGCCCAGACAGCCAGGAUGUUGGCUUAGAAGCAGCCAUCAUUUAAAGAAAGCGUAAUAGCUCACUGGUCGAGUCGGCCUGCGCGGAAGAUGUAACGGGGCUAAACCAUGCACCGAAGCUGCGGCAGCGAACGUAUCACCCAAGACAACUUUACGGAGUUGACGAUUGACGGAGCGAAGCGACGUCAAAGCGUUCAUUAAAGUCGAGUUGGCUUAGGGAUACGUUCGUUGGGUAGGGGAGCGUUCUGUAAGCCUGUGAAGGUGUGUCGUGAGGCAUGCUGGAGGUAUCAGAAGUGCGAAUGCUGACAUAAGUAACGAUAAAGCGGGUGAAAAGCCCGCUCGCCGGAAGACCAAGGGUUCCUGUCCAACGUUAAUCGGGGCAGGGUGAGUCGACCCCUAAGGCGAGGCCGAAAGGCGUAGUCGAUGGGAAACGGGUUAAUAUUCCCGUACUUGGUGUUACUGCGAAGGGGGGACGGAGAAGGCUAUGUUGGCCGGGCGACGGUUGUCCCGGUUUAAGCGUGUAGGUGUGUGUUCCAGGUAAAUCCGGUUCACUUUAACACUGAGGCGUGACGACGAGGCACUACGGUGCUGAAGCAACAAAUGCCCUGCUUCCAGGAAAAGCCUCUAAGCAUCAGGUAACACGAAAUCGUACCCCAAACCGACACAGGUGGUCAGGUAGAGAAUACCAAGGCGCUUGAGAGAACUCGGGUGAAGGAACUAGGCAAAAUGGUGCCGUAACUUCGGGAGAAGGCACGCUGACACGUAGGUGAAGUGAUUUACUCAUGGAGCUGAAGUCAGUCGAAGAUACCAGCUGGCUGCAACUGUUUAUUAAAAACACAGCACUGUGCAAACACGAAAGUGGACGUAUACGGUGUGACGCCUGCCCGGUGCCGGAAGGUUAAUUGAUGGGGUCAGCGUAAGCGAAGCUCCUGAUCGAAGCCCCGGUAAACGGCGGCCGUAACUAUAACGGUCCUAAGGUAGCGAAAUUCCUUGUCGGGUAAGUUCCGACCUGCACGAAUGGCGUAAUGAUGGCCAGGCUGUCUCCACCCGAGACUCAGUGAAAUUGAACUCGCUGUGAAGAUGCAGUGUACCCGCGGCAAGACGGAAAGACCCCGUGAACCUUUACUAUAGCUUGACACUGAACAUUGAGCCUUGAUGUGUAGGAUAGGUGGGAGGCUUUGAAGUGUGGACGCCAGUCUGCAUGGAGCCGACCUUGAAAUACCACCCUUUAAUGUUUGAUGUUCUAACGUGGACCCGUAAUCCGGGUUGCGGACAGUGUCUGGUGGGUAGUUUGACUGGGGCGGUCUCCUCCUAAAGAGUAACGGAGGAGCACGAAGGUUGGCUAAUCCUGGUCGGACAUCAGGAGGUUAGUGCAAUGGCAUAAGCCAGCUUGACUGCGAGCGUGACGGCGCGAGCAGGUGCGAAAGCAGGUCAUAGUGAUCCGGUGGUUCUGAAUGGAAGGGCCAUCGCUCAACGGAUAAAAGGUACUCCGGGGAUAACAGGCUGAUACCGCCCAAGAGUUCAUAUCGACGGCGGUGUUUGGCACCUCGAUGUCGGCUCAUCACAUCCUGGGGCUGAAGUAGGUCCCAAGGGUAUGGCUGUUCGCCAUUUAAAGUGGUACGCGAGCUGGGUUUAGAACGUCGUGAGACAGUUCGGUCCCUAUCUGCCGUGGGCGCUGGAGAACUGAGGGGGGCUGCUCCUAGUACGAGAGGACCGGAGUGGACGCAUCACUGGUGUUCGGGUUGUCAUGCCAAUGGCACUGCCCGGUAGCUAAAUGCGGAAGAGAUAAGUGCUGAAAGCAUCUAAGCACGAAACUUGCCCCGAGAUGAGUUCUCCCUGAGACUUAGAGUCUCCUG